CGAAGGGCGGCGGCGCGCCUUUGUCAGCGCGGCCUGGGCUGUGGCGUCGGGGGCCGAGCGGAGAGCGAGCCCCGGCUUCUCGUUCCUGGAAGCCGACGUCAAGCCCCUCUCUCGCGCCCAGCGACUGCUGUCUUUCCAGCAACUGCAGUCCUCUCGUCGCACGCCCAAAGCCGACGAUCCCCUCUCCGCCGCCUCCGCCGCCCGCUUCCUGUUUAUCCACACUGCGCCUGCGCCGCAGACCGGAUCAGACCGGUCCUCGGCCCGCGCCCCUCCCCCUCGGGCCGGCCCAGCGUGCCUGCCCGGCGGGGGUAAAUGGAGUGGAGCGAGGGCGGAAAGCGCGCGGAACGGAGGUAGUGGACCGUACCACCUAGAUUUGCCCCCCUCCCGAGAGGGUCCACACCCUGGGACGGGCCACUGCCCCUCCCCCGAAGAAGGGGGUGCGGGAGGAGGCUGCAGCCUGCGGGAGCCGCCGGGAGAAGCUGAGGGGCGCGGAGGAGAGGUGUUUACUGUGCCACCGCGCAGGCGCGGAAACAGGACCUCGCGCUCUUAAAGAGGUAGGAGCUGACCUACUUUCUACGGAGAUUCUUCCUGUAGUUUAGCUGUUCGUCUCUGCUGCACCCAAGCUCGGUUCUAGAAGGACACUUCCGACGAACUCAGCCAAGCUCUGAACCUUGGAUCGUUUCCCCAUACCCUGAACCCACUUAUUCGUUCAUUCCUUCUGCAGACCCCUCUGAGCUUGCCUCAUCCUGGACCCUGGCGCCACUAUGAGCUCACAGUGUGGUGGGCAGAGAUGAUUGAUUUAUUUACUGCGGUACUGGGCAGCUGUGAUGAGUCAAACUACAGCAAGAAUCUCCACUAAGCUACAUCCUUAGCCCUUUUUAAUUUUUUUUAUUUGGGCUAGGGUCAGUUGACCAGGCUGGGCUCAGAUUUGCGAUCCUCCUGCCUCAGCCUCCCAGAAUGCUCCCAGGAUGUUCCCUCAUCCCACACUUGGCUACACGCAGAAUUCUUGCAUGGUGUGCCCAUGUGUUUCGGGAAGUCAGAGGAGGUAACAACCAACUCCUAUUUAUUUAUUUUUGGUAUCGGGCAUCAAACUUGGGACCUUUCGCUUGUGAGUGAGGCGGUGGAACCACUGAGCUAAAACCUCGGUCCCCAACUCCUGUUUUAAGGACAGGCCCUGCCUGGUCAUUGCCUCACUUUUGGUCUGGAUUAUAAAAAUGAGUAGAAGUUAACCAGGCUGAGCAGGACAAUCCAGAUUAGUGGAACAACAGAUUGAAAAUGGGGGGUGAAAGGUAUGGCUUGUUUGGGAAUGGGGAAAGUGCUGUGUGUAAGGAACUCUGAGAUUCUUUGCGCCUCAACAUAAACUUCAUUCCCUCGUUUUUGGCCUUGGCCUCGUUCAUUUCCUAGGCCCUAGAAGGACCCCCCGCCCCACAACCUUCUGUAUGCUCUGGGAGCUUCUGCAGUCCUGUCAUAAUGCACUUGACAUUUCCGGUGCUUGAGAGAUCUGUCUCAACCUGUGAGGACGAAAUGUCUCACUUCUAUACUUCGAUGUGUUAUUUAACCUUAGCGGUAGCCCAACCUCUAACUCUUACAGUCCUUUUCAAUCCUGGAUUAUUUCCAUGGGAACUAGAAGCAAGAAUUUUCUCUAUAUUGUUCGUUCUUUCUAAUACGGAACACUAAAUGUGCACAUCAUUGUAGCUAGCACAGGGACAAACUGACCGUGUCCGUGGCUCCAGUUUUACUGUGUGCUGCUGACCAGGCGUCUUCUUGGACCUGCUGUGAUGGCAGCUCCAGGCCACAGCCGGUCUCCUUGGGUACUGUGGUCCCAGGGUGCCUGCAGGCUCUCAUUCCAGGUGAUUCUCACGCCUAGUCUCCUGACACUUUUCUCUUUGAAAAAGAAAACCUCACACCAUGGCAACUGCUAACAAGUCAGCAGCCACAAUUUCAUCCACUCCACUGUGCACUCAGGUCUGUGAUCCAGAUCGAACUCGGGACCUUGCACUUACGAGGCAGGCGCUGAAACCACUGAGCUAAAUCCCCGGCCCAGGAGAGUGUUUUGAGAAGGAGCAGAUGACAACAUGUCAGAUCAGACCAGUCGCCCUGACAAAAUGAUGUGGAUACCAGCCUGCUGGCUUUCCUGGACCCCCUGUGCACCCUGGCUCCGGUCACUUCUACCUCACUAGUGAUCCUCAGCCUAGCUUCAACUUUCCCUUUAUUUAUAUCUACCCUAAAAUGUGAGUCAUCUCUAGACCUGAUCCAGUUAUAUCCAUCUACUCAUCGUGCUUAUUCAUCCAAUAAUACAGUCAUUUAUUGAAUGCCCAUUACGUGCCAGGCCCCCAGGGAUAGGAUAGCGAGGAAAAAAACCUAGCCCAGGUACUCAGGGAGCCUUAAGUAAUUCACCAUGUAUCAAACAGAAGUGAACAAUUAACCCAGUAAAUACACAGUUACAAACAGAGCACCAUGAGAGCCUGUCACAGUGUCCCUUCCUCAGACAAUGCAGGCACACAGCACCCAUCCCUCACACAGAUCUCCACAGGCAGCGACCUGGGGGAGCUGGGUCUAGGCUUGAUCCCACAACAAACUCACUUGCUGAUCUCAAGCAAAUUCUUUGGCUCCUCUGAGCCUGUUUCCUUUUGUUAUGGAUUAGAUUUUAAAUGUCCCACAACCCUGGUGUGGUGGCACACGCCUGCAAUCCCAGCACUCGGGAGGCUGAGACAGGAUCUCCAUGAGUUCCAGGCCACCUUGGGCUACACUGUGAGUUUAAGGCCUGAACUACAUGAGACCCUGUAUCAAAAAGAACCACCAAAAUAGAAUAAAAUAUCCUCCCAAAGCCGCCUGUGUUUGGAAGGUCACUGGGUACUCGGGCACCACGCUCAUGCUCAUCUAUCUCUAUGGGUCAGAGCUGCCUGCUGUUAGGAGGCGGGGCCUGGCCUGCAGAGGUGUCACUGGGCUCUGAUCGGAAGGGUCCCUUCUCCUCUUGCUGCUCCCUGGCUGCCAUGCAAUGAGCAGCUGUCCUCUGCCCCGGUCCUUCCGCCAGGCCCUUCUGCCUGGGAACCAGCUGGCCAUGGACUGAAAAUGGAAGCCAAAGUAAACCUCUGUUCCUUUAAACUGCAAUCAUUUUGUUCCAGAGAUAAUACAGUGACUAAGGCACUCUUCUGUGAAGGGAAGGCAGAAGGAGAGAUAGACUAGGUAAGUUGUUUUGUUCUUUCAACAUUUAUUAUAUAUAUGUCACCAAAAGAUCACAAAAAGAUCACAAAAAAGGAAGCUUUAGUUCACAACACAGGUCUAUGAAAAUACAUUUUUAAGCUCUGCAGUGUACAAUAUUUGUUUAAAGUUAAAGCAGUAGGGUCAGGGAUUUAGCUCAGUGGCACUACACCUGCCUCACAAGCUCAAGGUCCUGAGUCCUAUCCCUGGUACAGGAAAAAAAAAAGAGAGAGAAAGAAAUAGAGAACAGUAAAGUUAAAGCAGUUAAAUACUUGAAACUAAUUUCGAAACUUGUGAAAUAAAGGCCAUACUUUUUUUUUUUUUUUUUUGGUACCGGGGAUUGAACUUGGGACCUUGUGCUUGUAAGGCAGGCGGUGGAACCACU